UCUAUAAAAUAGUACGCGUGUCUAUAAAAGAGCAGACUCUCACAAUGUCACAGCAGGUAAUUGUGUCCGACGGUCAGAGCAUGAUGUGGUGUUAGAAUAAAACUAUCUAUUUAUCGUAUCUGACAUAUUCACAAUAAGAUUUUCUUUAGAAGUAACAAUAAAUAUCAUAGUAAUCAUGUCUGACGAUCAGAGCAUGAUGUUUAUAAAUUAUCUAAUUGUUCUUUUCGGCAAAUUCUUUUUACCAGUGAAAUCUUGUAUCCUUAAAAAAUCCCUUUCUAAUUCAAUUUCAGUUUUCCGAUGGGGCUUACUAAUAACCAAUAAUAUUGCGAUCAUUGCCUGACUCGCGAUACUCUCACAUUCGAGGAAAACUCGAACUAGAAUGAUAUUGGUUACCGUUAAACCAACUAUGUUUGGAAUAUGUAAUAUGUAUGUAUAUGGAAUAUCUUUGAGAUCGGAUUCCAUUUUAAAAAGUGUGUCAAAAAUGUACAAUUAUAAGCGACUAAACUCUCAAAAAUAACAGUCUUCUCAAAUAACAUCAUUCCUUGUUUAAAUUUAAUAAAAGUGUACGAUAACAAUAAAAAAGGACUUUUAUGAGGAAUUUCUUCAAUAAACUGUUUAUAAAUUUCGCGAGCAAUAAGUGCUCGCGAACAAUUAAUGAAAAUCUUUCGAUACAGUAUAUUGAAUACUAUUUUGAAUACAUAUGUAGAUAAUAUAUAUCAUGUAUAACAUUAUACUACUAGUUAAAAGAUUGUUAUGAAUUUUAUAAAAUUUACAAAUUUUAUUAAAAUAUAUAUAUUGAUUGUAAUUGAAUGUGAUAUCAUAAAGUAUUGAAAAAAUAGCAUUAAUGUGAAGUGAAAUGAAGAAAAAGAAAAUUAUAGAAAUUAUGAAAUUAAAAUUAUAAAUUACAAUAAAAAAAUUUAAUAAAUGACUCAGGAAAGUAUUAAUUAAAAGUAUUUUUGAUAAAGUAUUUAUGUGUUUUGAUUAAGAUUGAAAUGAAUCUUAUUCAUUUUGCAGUGAUAAAUUUGUAACAUUAUUUUGAUUAAUGCUGAAAAACGGUAGCAGAGUACGAAAUUGGUUGGCUUAUGUUAAGACAGUUUCAACUACGGGCAUGAAAGCAUAUAAUCUGACAAAUUAUCAAAAGAAGAAAUGAAUAAAUAUGAAUUAAAAUAUCUUUCAAAAUUUACUGAAAGUAAAUGAGAAUCAAAUAAAUUACAAAUCAUAUAAAAGUAUUAUCGCCAGAAGAUGAUAAAAACAUCAUGAAUGGAAAAAUUUCAUCAUUAAAUGAGAACUAUAAGAAUUGAUUAAAUAUCCAAUAAAUAUAACAUUUAUAAAUAAUCCAUGAAUAUUUGAAGACAAAAUAAGAUCAAAAUAGAUCAGCUAAUUAUUACGAAAUUAAAGUGUUAGCGAAAAGAAUUUGAUUAUUGAUUAUCAGAAAACUAUUAGUUCAAUAGCUCUAUUCAAUAUUAUGAGAACAAUAAUAAAUAUGACUUCAGAAAAAUUGAAAUUAAUAGUUCAACAUUAAAACAUACUAAUAUAGAAAAUUAACAAAAGAAAAUGUAUAUAUGAUAAAGAAAAGUAUAAUAAAGUAAUACAGAAAAAUGAUCUUUAUAGUUGAAGCAGAGAUGUGAUAAUGUUUUCAGAAAAUUCAUAUAAAUGAAAAGAAUGGCAUAAUCUAAAUACAGUCGAUUCUUUCUUAUUUCUAAGAAUUAGAAAUAAAAAAAAACUUUUUAUUAUGAAUAUGUGGAUAAUAAAUUAAUAUCAGAUAAAAUAACUAAAUUUCUGAAAUCUUAAAAAUGAAUUUAUAAUUAUUAUCAAAUUAUUGAAUAAUCUGAAUUAUCUGAAUAUUAAGAUCACAUAUUUGAACAUUGGAUAAAUUUUCAUUUAUCAAUUAGCAUAUAUUUAAAAAGUUUUAUAAAAAUUUAAUAUAUGAGAGUAUAAUAAUAUUAAUAUUAUAUUGCCUUGUAAAAAUUGAAAUAUUAUAAUAAAAAAUAUAAUAUUAUAAUAAUAUAAUAAAAAAUAAAAAAUAUAAGGAUAAAAAUAUUAAAAAUGAAUUAUCGUAUCAUAAAAUUGUAGGAAGCUUUAUAUAUAUUAAUUGAUAUAUGAUAAUUAGAUAUUUGAUUUAUGAUGUCGAAAAUAGAUAGCUUCAAAUUGAUAGUGAAAAGAAUAAUGAUAUCAUUUCAUCAAAAUAUCUUAUCUUUACAUAAGUUCAGAAAAUUGAAAAGAUUUAUGGAGAUGUUGAUAUGGAGAAGAUGUAAUGAUUAAAUGUUCAAGAAUAUUUGUAAAUAUGCUGAAAAUGUAAUUAUAUGAAAUAGUAAAAAAAAUUAUAUCAUUUGAUCAACAACUGAAACUGAAUAUAUCUCAAAAUCAAUGUAAUAUCAAGUCAAAAUAAUAUAGUUAAAAAAACUUGAUAAAAUUGAAAUAAUUAGAGAAAAUUUUUAAAAUAUAACACAAAUACAAUUAAAUUUAUAAAGAAGUUAUAAAGUUUCAAAAGUGAAAAAAAUUAAAUAUACAUUGAAAUUCAUUUUUAUUUUAUAAAGCAAAAUUACAAAAAAAGAAAAGAAAAUACAUAUUCAACAUAUCGAGAAUAUAAAACAGGAAACAGUUAUUUUUUAUUAAAUGCUUACUUUGUAUACGGUUCAAUUAUCUAAGAGAAAAAAUUGAAAUGGUUAAAAGAGAAUUAAUUGAUACUACAGAUCAAUUUUUUGAUAAAAUUGUAAUAAAAUUCUCAAGUCUAAAGAAAGUUUCUUUAUUAAAAUUAGGCUUGAGAUAAAUGUCGCAUAAAGGCAAGUAUUCAAUUGUUAUAAAUCUCAAAAAUAGAAUGUUGAUAUUAAUAACCAUAACUGAAAUAUAUCAUCAAAAUCACAUUGCACUCUGUCAGAUUGAAGUGUUUUAAUAUUAGAACUAUCAGAAAUGGAUAUAUACGUAUUUUUACUGGUAUAAUUAUGAUAGAAAAAUAUUUAAAAAAAAAAAUUUCUAAAAGAAUAAUAAAACCAGUCAUUUUGACUGAUCCAGUAGUGUUAAUCCAGUUCUAGUGUUAAAAAAUAUUUAAUUCCAAAUAUUAUCCUCAAAAAUGGAUACGACUAAUUCGCCAAGAUGGAGUUAUAUUAAAUGUCUUGUGGGCUGCAAUAGCCUUCGAGUCUUGAUAAUUCCCCUGUUUGGAUUUUGAUUUUACAUGUCUUCGGAAUAAGAUUAUAUUAAUUGUUUGACUCAAAUUCAAGAUAUCUAGUCUAUGAAAAAACUGAUGAUGAUUCUUCUAAAGAAAAAAUGAAAAAGAGAAGAAGAAAGAAGGUUUACAGAUGAGACAUUUUCUUAUCGGUUCAUUUGCUUAUUAUAUGAAAGUAUUUUGAACGAUCAUCAUUUCCCGCUUUUUCAAUUACUUGUCUCGACAGAAUUUUGAUCUGACAAGAAGAGAUUCCUUAUUUGAAAAUUCAAAAAAUUAUGAAAUUUUGAAGAUAUAUAAGUAUGUAUUAUGCAUUUAUUUUGCCAAAAUUACCUUAAGAAAGUGAAAUCAAUUCAAAAUUCAUUUUUCGACUUAUUAACUCGCAAACUUCAAAAAAUAUAAAAAAAAUUUUCAAAUAAAAGUUGUUUUUUUUUAUAAGAACUAUCAUCUAAUAAAACAUUUAUUAAUUGUUUACACAAAUUAUUAAUUUUUUAAAAAAUUGUUUUUCAUUGUAAAAUUUUAAUCGAUAUAAAUAUGCGAUGGUAUAAAAAAAUAGAAUAAAUACUUUUUGUUUUUAAUACAACUUUGUUGUGUUGCUAUUUUAUUAAAAUUUUCAAAAGAAAAAUUUUCAAUAGAAAAAUUUAUAUUAUAUAUUUUUGAUUUUUAUUAAAUAUUAGAUCAAUAUAUUAAAUGAGAAAAAACAACUUAUAAACUAACUUGUAUAAAAUCUUUUUAUUUUUAAUGUCAUCAAAUUUCUUUAUUUUUUUAUUUUUUUCUCUUUAUCAAAUAAUAAAGAGACGAAUAAAUGACGAAAAUUGAUUAUAAAUAAGAGAUUAUAAUUUAAUGAUAUUAUUUCAUGCAUGUAGAUUAAUAUCAUAAUUAUAUAAUACAUUAUAUAAUAAAAUUGGAAAAUUUCAUUAUAUCAAGCACAUUAUAUAUUAUUUCUUUUCUUGAUAUAUUGCAAAUAUUUCUAUAUUCUAUAUUAGAUGGUAUAUUAUUUAAUAUCUGAUUUAAUAUCUAUUUAAUAUCUGAUAUAUUAUUUAAUAGCUGAAUCAAUCAAAUAAUAAAGCAUCCCAUAUUCGGUAAAUAAAUAUUUAUUAAUUCAUUAAACAACUCUUUAGUUAACUUUUAAAAUGAACGCCAUUAUAUAAAUGUUCCAUAGUCGAUGCAUUCCAUAUUCUACGCGUAGAACCAACCAAAAUAAAAAGUUUGUUCCUUUAGAACAAUAAAAAGAAGAAAUUUUCAGGAAGCUAAUAUUGUAAAGUAUAAUAUGCAUAUAAUUAUGUAAGUAGCUACAAAUUAUAUUAUUGUUGUAAUAUAUUUAUUCUUUUGAUAAUAUAUACAAAAUAUAUACAAAAAAAAAUAAAGAUUUUUGAUAACUAUAUUAAAAAUAAUUUUUAAUUGUAUAAAAAAAUUAAUAAAUAUUUCAAUAAGUGAUAAUUCUUAUGAAAUAAUUUUUAUCUAAAAAUUUUUUUUUAUAUUUUUUAUAAUUUACAAGUUAUAAUGUAAAAUCAAAAAAUAGCCAAAUUUUCAAAAGUUGAUCUUCUUAAAGUGAUUUUAAACAAUAAAAAAAAAUUGCAUAAUAUACAUCUACAUAAGCAUUAAAUAUUCAAAGUUCAUAAUUUUUUGAAUUUUCAAUCUUUCUUUGUGAGUAUCAGUAUAAUUCCCGUGAAUGACACGAUCAAAAUUCUCUCAUUUCACAAAAUGACGUUAUUUUAGCUAGGUAUUGUUAAUACUUUCAAUUCUCUAUUCUGCAAGAAAAUAGAGGAGAACACUAUCAUAUUAUAAAUUCGCUAUGUGAAACAGGCAAUUAGCUUUAGAAGAGAUUUAAAAGUAUAGAGUAUUAAUAGAAUAUAUAAUAAAUUAAUAUUAAUAAUAGACAUAUGAGAAGAAUUCGUUGAUGUCACAUAAAGAUUAAUCUUAAACUUUUCAUGGGACAUAAUGUACAAUGUGGCAUUCCGGUAUCAAUAAAUUUGCUAUGUUGACAACACGUUGGCAUUGAUCAGUGAUAGGAAAUAGAAUGAAUUAUUUAUUUUGCAGAAACCGAUGUGGUUUCUAUGUUUUCCGUUGUCCAACUGGGACUGGAAAUGGGAACACUCCUAAGAUUCUAUAAUUUUAUUCCAAAAGAUUUCAGUUAACAUGUUCAUUUCUAGUUAUAUUUCUAGUUAUUUAGAGUACAUCUAGAAAUAUAAUGAAAUACUUCAAUUUCUUUCUAAACAGUUUCUGACGUUUCAAUAUCUUUGAUCUCCUAUUUUAUGCUAAUUAGAAAACACGACAUCAUUUAAUUCAAUCGUCAUUCAAUCCUCUGCUGUUCAACUUAGAACUACAUGAGAAAGAUCGCUAUUUAUAAUAUAUAUUAGAAAUUCUGCAAAAUUAUAGUUUUAUGCUUUUAUGCUAUAUCUCAUAUAAAUUAAUAAUGAUAGAAAUAUCAAUAAAAAAUUUUUACAGUAUAUUGAAUUCUGCUUAUACAUGAAUCAGUGUUUAGAUUCGAGAAAUACGAAAAUAAAAUAUAAAACAAAUCUUGAGCAACUAUGAUUAUAACGAUAAAUUAUAACGAUAGAUAUCAAAUUGAUAUUAAUAUUUAUUGUAAUUUCAAGAUUUUUUAAUUCUUUCAAAUAUACGGAAUGCAUAAUCUUGAUAUUAGAUUUGAACCUAUUAUAAUCUAUAAAAAAAAUAGUUUUUUGAUCGGUCUAUACUUUUGAUUGUUAUAUACUUGAAUGCUGCCUAUUAUGUGUUUUUAAAAACAAUAAAAGAUUAUAUCUAAUCUAUUAUUCUGAUGCAUAUAUUGCAUAUAAUUCAAUGUAUGAUACCAAAAAAAUUUUUUAUAUUAUAAUAUCUCUAAAAAACUCGAAAUUAAAAUUUUACAUUCGAAACUUUUUCCUCCUUCUUUUUUCUUUUCAAAAUUUCAAUUUCAAUUUGGUUAAGAGAUGCAUACUAUGUUUUAUUUAAAUUUUCUAAUCUCUCCCGAUUUAUAUUUAUCAUUUCUUAAUUUUUUUGGAUCAUAUAUGGAUUCAUAAAUUGGAACAUUUUACUAUUUCAAAUGUAUUUUUGAAAUUCUUUAUCAUAAUUAAAUUAUCUUUUUUAUAUUUUUUCUUAUCGAUAUAUCUCUUAUUAUAUUCCUGUGUUUUUAUGCAAUUUGAUACUUUCUCAUAUAACAAUUUAAAAUUAUAAUCAUAUUUUUUUUAUAAUUUUGAAAAAAAAUAUUAAUUACAUAAAUUUCUUUUGUAUUAUAUUUUUAUUUAUCCUAUUAUCUAUAUUGAUAAUUUUAUGUUAUAGUGAACAAAUUAUUAAAAAAAAUUAGCCUUUGAUUUCGUAUUAUGUAGAAGUUUGGGAUCUGUAAGUUGAUUUUGCUCAACAUAUGCAUCGAUUGCACAUUUGUAUUUACUGACUCAUUUCAUUGGAUUGAAUAUAGAUUGAAUUAGAAUUUUAAGUUCAAAUAUUAUCAAAUUAUAAAAAUAAAAAUUAAUCAAAUUAAAUUACAAACAGGUAUGGUUUAUUAUUAUUAAAAAUUUUAAUUAAUCCCUAGAAUAAAAUAUUUAUUAUACAAAAUUAUAUUCAAUUAUAUCAAAAUCAUAUAUAUCAAAAUACAGAAUAUGAUUAUACAAGACUAUAUAAGACUAUAUAAGAUUACAAAAUUAUACAUUUGUAAAUUGGAAGAAUAACAACAUAUUAAUCUACAGAUGAUUAUCAAUGUAUAUCAGAAAUGAUCAAAUAAGGAAAAAGUUGAAAAAGUUAAUCAUAAUUGAAAAAAUUACUAAAACGCGACAUAAUAUAAAGAAAAAAUUAAAAAUUAUUCUAAUCAAAUAUUUAAUAUAAACAACAUAUAUACUACAGGAAUUCCAACAAAACUUAAAAAAUAUUUCUCAUCUUUAUGUUUUAAAUGUAGAUCUCAUACAUCUAAUAAAUACACGAAGUAAUU